GAGGGCCAGGAAUCCUCCGGCUCGGAGGGCGAAGCGCCGGGGCCCAGCUGGGCUUGGCGGUUCCUUCCCCUCGCUCGCGCACACGGGUCUUUUCUGCCAACCCCAACCUACAAGAAUGCGGGCCGACGCCGCGGGGCCCAUGUCAAAAGAGAGCAGGCCCAGGCCCCGUCUUGAAGUAAAAUUAUAUCCGAGCUCAAGAUUAUGAUUUGUCCAAGCUGCUUCACAUUAUUCUGCCUGAAGGACAGCAUUCUGCAAUGUGACCCCCUCCAGAUGUUUUCAUCUGCAAGCCAUGCUGACAUCUCAAACACACCAGAUGAGGAAGGACCACUAUCCGAUGUCAUCCUGCCCCCACACUCAGAUUAUCAGGCUUCUCUCAUUAAAGCACUUGGCUUCCUUCUCCCA